rnacentral:rRNA from 1 species
CAGUCGCCACGGGAAUACGAAGGGUGCAAGCGUUACUCGGAAUUACUGGGCGUAAAGCGUGCGUAGGUGGCGUGUUAAGUCGAAUGUGAAAGCCCCGGGCUCAACCUGGGAAUGGCAUCCGAUACUGGCAGGCUAGAGUUCGAUAGAGGGUAGUGGAAUUCCAGGUGUAGCGGUGAAAUGCGUAGAGAUCUGGAGGAACAUCAGUGGCGAAGGCGGCUACCUGGAUCAGAACUGACGCUGAGGCACGAAAGCGUGGGGAGCAAACAGGAUUAGAGACCCCAGUAGUCCCUGUCUCUUAUAC